rnacentral:rRNA from 1 species
GACCUGCGGAGGAUCAUUAUCGUAUAAACUUGAACAGGCUGUUGCUGGCCCUCGCAAUGCGGGGGUGUUGUGCACGCUUGUCUCAUCUUUGUCAUUUCUCCAACUGUGCACAUUUUGUAGAUCCUGGGAUGGGAGCCCUCAUGAACUCGCGUUCGAGUCGGGACUGCUGCUGCUUUUUCUUGGAAGGCCGGCUUUUCCUCGUAUCUUUUCCAGGUCUAUGUCAUUUAUCACAACCUCUCGAAUAUGUUUAGAAUGUGUUGCAUAUAAAAAUGAAAUAUAUACAACUUUCAGCAACGGAUCUCUUGGCUCUCGCAUCGAUGAAGAACGCAGCGAAAUGCGAUAAGUAAUGUGAAUUGCAGAAUUCAGUGAAUCAUCGAAUCUUUGAACGCAUCUUGCGCUCCUUGGUAUUCCGAGGAGCAUGCCUGUUUGAGUGUCAUUUAACUUAUCAACCACUUCACAUUUCUGAACGUGGCUUGGAUGUGGGGGCUCUUUUGCAGGUCUUUUGAAGAAAAGGUCGGCUCCCCUGAAACGCAUUAGUGGCAUCUGAGCUGCUACUGUAGGUGUGAUAAAUAUCUAUGCCUUUGGUAUUGCUGCAUGAACAGAUUGCGCUGCUCAAAACAAAACAAAAUAUGACAGACUUGACCUCAAAUCAGGUAGGACUACCCGCUGA